rnacentral:lncRNA from 1 species
GCUCCAAACCAAUGAAUUCAAAUUACAAGAAAAGAAACUCUACCAAAACCUUAAGAAGUGUUUUUAAAAAUCCAUAAAAUAAUAAUAAUAAUAAUAAUAAUAAUAAUAAUAAUAAUUUUAUUCUUGUAUCCCGUCCCAUCUCCCCGAAGGGACUCGGUGUGGCUCACAUGGGGACCUAGCCCAAAAUACACCACAAAAUACAUACAAACAUAUAAAAUCAAAGGCUAAUAAAAUACAAUAAAAACUUACAAUAACCAAUAGCCGUCCAGGCGCAGUGAGCAUAAUCAGGAUUGGAGGCAAGGCAGUAAAGGUAAUUACCGUAUAUACUCAAGUAUAAGCCGACCCUAAUAUAAGCCGAGGCACCUAAUUUUAUCACAAAAAACUGGGAUAACUUAUUGACUCGAGUAUAAGCUGAGGGUGGGAAGUGCAGAAGUUACAGGUAAAUUUCAAAAUAAAAAUAGAUGCCAAUAAAAUUUCAUUAAUCAAGGCAUCAGUAGGUUAAAUGUUUUUGAAUAUUUACUGUAUUUCAAAGGAAAGCAAUAAACUAACUCUAUAAGUGGAAAAGUAGGGGCAACAAAAACAAUAUGGUAUCAACAAUAACAUAAUAAUAAUAAUAAUAAUAAUAAUAAUAAUAAUAAUAAUAAUAAUAAAAACUUCAUUUGGAUCCCACCCUAUCUCCCCAUGGGGACUCAGGCCGGCUUCCAACAUACCAUAGUAACAGGCAAACAUUCAAUGCUUAUAUAAACAAUGCAGAGCUAGAUAUAGAUCUAUAAUUAUAGAUACUAAUUUCACAUAUGCAUUUCCCCCUGAAAUGUUUGCAAAUCCCCUCUCUCUGUGUGUGUGCAUUUCCCCUACAAUAUUUGCAAGCUAUAUAUAUAUAGACAUGUCUAUAUAUAUUUGUGUGUUCAUUUCCCCCCUGUAAUAUUUGCAAGCCAUAUAUAUAUAUAUAUAUAUUCAUAUCUAUCUAGACAUGUCUAUAUAUAUUUGUGUGUUCAUUUCCCCCCUGUAAUAUUUGCAAGCCCUAUAUAUAGGUAAGUAAGAAUAUAUUCAUAUCUAUCCAGACAUUUCUCUUUAUAUAGAUAUUUGCAGAGACUUGCAAACAUAUGAGGGGAAAAUUCAUAUAUAAAAUUAAUGUAUAUAGAUAGAUACAUAUCUAAAGGUACAAAGAGAUUG